CCUACGGGAGGCUGCAGUGGGGAAUAUUGCGCAAUGGGCGAAAGCCUGACGCAGCGACGCCGCGUGAGGGAUGAAGGUCUUCGGAUCGUAAACCUCUGUCAGCAGGGAAGAACGGUCACUGUGUUAAUCAGCAGCGAAUUGACGGUACCUGCAAAGGAAGCACCGGCUAACUCCGUGCCAGCAGCCGCGGUAAUACGGAGGGUGCGAGCGUUAAUCGGAAUUACGGGGCGUAAAGCGCGCGUAGGCGGUAUGUCAAGUCAAGGGUGAAAUCCCCGCGCUCAACGUGGGAACUGCCUUUGAAACUGGCAAACUGGAGUGUGUGAGAGGAGAGUAGAAUUCCAGGUGUAGGAGUGAAAUCCGUAGAUAUCUGGAGGAACAUCAGUGGCGAAGGCGACUAUCUGGCACAUAACUGACGCUGAGGAGCGAAAGCGUGGGUAGCAAACAGGAUUAGAUACCCUGGUAGUC
rnacentral:rRNA from 1 species